rnacentral:snoRNA from 1 species
AGAUGAUGAUAUUUCCAUAGCUGGCACCAGUCAUAGAACGAUGAUCGUAUGGUUGUCGUCGCUGCUGAUUAGCUCAAGUCCGGGAACGCUACCCAGGAUCCUGAU